rfam:Loxodonta africana unplaced genomic scaffold scaffold_49, whole genome shotgun sequence.
UUUUUAGUAUAAGUAUGUCCUAUACAAUAUUUGGAACAUACUUAUCCUAAAA